rnacentral:lncRNA from 1 species
AGGUAGUCUUGCCCAGACUGGCCUCAAACUUUCCUUAGCUGCUAGAGUGGCUGGAACUACAAGCACGCACCACCGGACUGAUACAUACAGACGGAAUGACCCUGACUGUAAAGUUCUUUUCUAAGGAGGGAAGGCUCCAAGUACACCAGGAAGGCUUUCGGGCUUUGGCCGACAGGCAAAGGACUCAGCUUAUUCAGACAGGGGGUCCACGCCUAGCUUCCACCCGCACCCUGCACACGCGCGCAGCGGGAAACUGGAGGGGCGUGGAGGAAAAAGGAUCCACGGACAGCGAAAUCACGUGAUCCCCCGGGGACCGCCCCUGUCCUGGCCUUGCCAUUGCCUAGAUGGGAAUACAAGCGUCCAGACUAGGAAUAACAAUCAGACCGCGGGUGCCUAAUUAUGAUAAUUGACCUGACCUCUGACGAGGAAAGAAUCCACCUGGCCCAGGAAGAUAAGAGUGUGGGCUAGCAAGUACGCGAUCACUUCCGCCGGCCAUAGCCCAGAGCCAAUCGGCUUGGCCCUGGAAGCCCUGAACAAACACAGUCCCAGGGCGAAAGUGCUUCUGCCCUCAUCUAAAAUGGCGGCGAGGGCGGUGCUGGUGGCCGGAAGUAGCCGCCCGUGACUGAUUUGUGCUUCUGGGUAACCUCCGUCGCCUUGUCUGCUCUGGAGCCGCUGGAUCUGCGGAACCCUGGGGCGCUUUUCGAUACUCUGGGAAGGAGGAAAUCCGUAGGCUAGAGUUCCAGCCACAGCCACCCCCCAGAAGUUCUACAGCAUGGCUGUCCAGAUGAAUCUGCAGUUAGAAAUUCCUGAGGCCUGGAGCUCCAAGGAAGCCUCUCAGUAGGUGCGAACCACACAGUUCUACCUGCUCUGCUGCCACCCUCAGUCUGCACCAGCUGGCUUCUAGUUCCUGAUACUGAACCAUCCUCUGAAUUUCCUACACUCGUCCAGCAGAUGGCAGCAGCCAGCCACUUCCGUAUACUCAGGCUCUUCACCUUUUCUACACAAAAGCAAGAUGCUGCUCAAAUGCAAGCCAUGUCUGCCCGAGCUGUAGCUGAGGCCCUGUACUCUGCCUUGCUCUUAGAGGAGAGUUCUCCCCUCCAGGACUUCACAGACCUCUCGAUGGCCAGAAAGGAACUAUCCAGACCCUUCUCAACCACCCGUGCCAUGGGACAUCUUCCUAAGGAACUGACCUCACAGGAAAGGAAGCCAAAGGGUCUCCUUGGAUUCGCUAACCGAGCUCACACCCCAGCAACAGGAGGGGUGCGCCUCUGGGAAGAGCAGGGCGAGGCUGCUGAGCCAGAUGGAAGGCAACAGCACGAGAGCUGGGAUUCCGUUUCUACUUAGAAGCAGCAGUCUAGAGAUGUCUGGAUUCUUCUCAUGAGUUCCUUUUCUGAUUAAAUAAGGCAGUCAGUUCUGUUGCUUGCAACUAAAAAUUCUAAGUAAUAUGAAACACUUCUCUCAUUGUGCCAUCUAUUGGUUGGUUGCUUGGUUUUGUUUCUGGUAAACAGAUUUCCUUCACCAUGAGUUUGUAAACUUUGCAGUUUGUCCUCAUUUCUAAUAUUUCAGUGUUUCAUACUAUACAUAGCACUGUAGUAUACAUAGUGGGGUGUGUGUGUGAUGUAUUUGUAGGCUCUAGACUAUAUCUGUACUGCAGUUGUUUUUUGGGGUUUUUUGUUUUUUUUUUGAGACAGGGUCUCAUGUAGGUCAGGCUGGCCUUGAACUCACUACAUAGUCCAGGCUGGCCUGGACUCAAACUCAGUGAUACUCCUGCCUCAGCCUCCUGAGUGCUGAGAUUACAGGCAUGUGCCACCAGGCCUGGCAAGUACCACAGAUAUUUUCAUCAAUCUGAAGUGUUUUUCAAAAACUUAGUAACCGACAUUUAAAGAUUAAGAGAUUUCAUUUGAAAUCUACAUUUCCACAUUUUCUUGAAAAAUUUGAAGAUGUUAGAUCUGCAUUUCUAUAGCUCCCCUCUUUUUUUUUUGGUAUCAGGGAUUAAACUCAGGACCUUGUUCUUGUGAGGCAGUCUCGGUGCCACUGAGCUAAAUCCCUAGCCCAAUAGGUCCCCUCUUUAAACAAAAUGUAGGGACUGUUUUGGGCCAAAAUUGUCAUCUUGCUCACUUUCAUUACUUACCUGGUCCUUGUAGGUAUGUAAGUUUGUCAGCUUUGGUACUCAACUGACUUACAGUGAAUAAAUAGAUUUAGCAAUUAGUUGCCCCCCCCCCGCGCCUUCCCUUCUGAGACAGGGUCUCACUAUGAAGUUCUGGCCUCUAAUUCACUAUGCAGUCCAGGGUGGCUUCAAACUCCUGGUGAUCCUCUUGCCUCAGCCUCCCAAAUGCUGAGAUUGCAGGCACAUGCCAUGACACCCGGCAACUGUCUUUCCUUGUUUUUAAAAUUUUAGUAGUGCUUAUUAGUUAUCCAGAAUAGUGGGUUUCAUUUGGCAUAUUUGUAUAUGUAUAUAACAUACUUUGCCCUCCAUCCUCUCCCUUCCCCCAGGCAAUUAGUAUUUUAUUUAUUUAUUUAUUUUGGUACCAGGGAUCGAAUUCAGGACCUUGUGCUUUUGUGCUUUCGAGGCAGGCAGUGGCACCAGUGAGCUUAAUCCCCUGCCCAGUAUUUUAUUUUUUUGAGACAAGUUAUCUCUAAGUAGUUCAGGCUUACCUCUAAUUUACUAUGUAGCCCAGGCUGGCUUUCAGCUCCCAGGGAUCCUCCUGCCUCAACCUCCAGAGUGCUGGGAUUUCAGGGAUGUGCCACUAUGCCCAGUUUUUUGUUUUUUUUCUUUUUUCCCCCAGCUUGUUUUUUGAGACAGAAUCUGGCAGGGAUCCUCCUGCCUCAGCACACUCCCAUCUCUCUUCUAGAAUGCUGGGAUUACAGGCGUGUGCCACCAAGCCCAGUGUAAUCCCUUUUUUCCCUAAAAUGCUGGGAUCAAACCCAGGGCCUCAAGCAUCCUACCACUGAGCUCCAUCUUCAGCCAUUUUAAUUUUGAUUUCACAUAUAUGUUCUAUUCUAACUAGAGUGCAAAAAGCCAUUUUUGUCCUAUUAUUUUUCUUUCAAUUAUUUUGGCUGUCACAUACCUCAGUAAAUAUUGAUAUAUGUUUAUAAACCUUUCUCUUAUCUCUAGAGCUAACCUUGGCCACUCUGGGUUGAGUCCCUCGUUUGGUGUGUGUACCUGCAAUCUCGUUAUCACUAUUAGUCCUUGGGCCAAGCUGAGAGACUAGUCAGGUAAAUAAAGUUACUUCCCGCAACGCAGAGGCUCGGAAGUGGAUUUGAGGCGGGGAGGCAUCUUCUCCACUGCAGAGGAGGAAGGCUGGUUCUCGCAGGAGCGCUGGCGCCCUAGGCGGGACCGUGGGGAAGGUGCGGCUGGGCGGCUGGAUCCCGGAAUCUGUCCGAGGCUUUCCGGGUGCGGACUCCGAGCAGCGAGCGCCCGCCGGAGUGAUCCUCCUUCCCGGCCUGGCGCCCUGGGGUGUGCUCCUGGCAGUCCCCGAGAAGUGGUCCUUGGGAUCAAUUUCAUGAGUCCCUGAAACCAAGCUUUCAAAGUUUUACAUUUCUGGGGGUCCGCCUCCCCGCCUCACAGCUCAUUUCCUUCUGCCGCUGCCCAGCGCCCCCAUCGCUCGGGUCGCCUCUUUCCGCAUCAGUUUCCCCAGGGGACCGGGGGUGACAUCUGGGGACUCCCGAGCCCUCCAGUCCCAGUCGGAGACGGGGAGAGGUAGGGAGGAGGCUGGCGCCCAGCCAAGGCUUUCGCGCCCUGAAGCUCCAGUCUGGGGACCAGUGGCCCGUGACCCCGGCUCCCCGCCCCGGCUCGGUGCUCCCGCGCGCCCCCUAGCGGC